rnacentral:rRNA from 1 species
GAAUCUUGGACAAUGGGCGCAAGCCUGAUCCAGCCAUGCCGCGUGGGCGAUGAAGGUCUUCGGAUUGUAAAGCCCUUUUGGCGGGGACGAUAAUGACGGUACCCGCAGAAUAAGCUCCGGCUAACUUCGUGCCAGCAGCCGCGGUAAUACGAAGGGGGCUAGCGUUGUUCGGAAUUACUGGGCGUAAAGCGUGCGCAGGCGGUUAUUCAAGUCAGAGGUGAAAGCCCCGGGCUCAACCCGGGAAUGGCCUUUGAGACUGGAUAGCUAGAGUGUGAGAGAGGUGAGUGGAAUUCCCAGUGUAGAGGUGAAAUUCGUAGAUAUUGGGAAGAACACCCGUGGCGAAGGCGGCUCACUGGCUCGCAACUGACGCUCAUGCACGACAGCGUGGGGAGCAAACAGG